ACCGGCAGCUCAAGUGGUGGCCAUUAUUAUUGGGCCUAAAGCGUUCGUAGCCGGUUUGAUAAGUCUCUGGUGAAAUCCCGCAGCUUAACUGUGGGACUUGCUGGAGAUACUAUCAGACUUGAGGUCGGGAGAGGUUAGGGGUACUCCCAGAGUACGGCUGAAAGCAUAGAAUCCGGGGAGGAGAAACGGUGGCGAGGGCGACUCACUGGAAAGAAACUGACGGUUAGUAACGAUUGCGAGGUAGGUGAAUGG
rnacentral:rRNA from 1 species